UGACUCAGGGAGGUAGUGACAAUAAAUAACAAUACAGGGCCUUUUUAGGUCUUGUAAUUGGAAUGAGAACAAUUUAAAUCCCUUAUCGAGGACCCAUUAGAGGGCAAGUCUGGUGCCAGCAGCCGCGGUAAUUCCAGCUCUAAUAGCGUAUAUUAAUGUUGUUGCAGUUAAAAAGCUCGUAGUUGGAUUUUGGUGUUUGACAAACGGUCGGCCUUACGGUUUGUACUGUUUGUUGGCACUUCUUUUCUGGGGAACUCACUGUUCUUAAUUGAAGGGUGUUGUAACGCAGAUCGUUUACUUUGAAAAAAUUAGAGUGUUCAAAGCAGGCCAACGCAUUGAAUACAUUAGCAUGGAAUAAUGGAAUAGGACUUUGGUCUUAUUUUGUUGGUUUCUAAGGCCGAGGUAAUGAUUAAUAGGGAUAGUUGGGGGCGUUUAUAUUCCGUUGUCAGAGGUGAAAUUCUUGGAUUUACGGAAGAUAAACUACUGCGAAAGCAUUCGCCAAGGAUGUUUUCAUUAAUCAAGAACGAAAGUUAGGGGAUCGAAGACGAUCAGAUACCGUCGUAGUCUUAACCAUAAACCAUGCCGACUAGGGAUCAGCAGACGUUCUUUAACGACUCUGUUGGCACCUUGUGAGAAAUCAAAGUUUUUGGGUUCCGGGGGGAGUAUGGUCGCAAGGCUGAAACUUAAAGGAAUUGACGGAAGGGCACCACCAGGAGUGGAGCCUG
rnacentral:rRNA from 1 species